rnacentral:rRNA from 1 species
CCUACGGGCGGCAGCAGUGAGGAAUAUUGGUCAAUGGACGAGAGUCUGAACCAGCCAAGUAGCGUGAAGGAUGACUGCCCUAUGGGUUGUAAACUUCUUUUAUAUGGGAAUAAAACGUUCCACGUGUGGGAUUUUGUAUGUACCAUAUGAAUAAGGAUCGGCUAACGCCGUGCCAGCAGCCGCGGUAAUACGGAGGAUCCGAGCGUUAUCCGGAUUUAUUGGGUUUAACGGGGGCGUAGGUGGAUUGUUAAGUCAGUUGUGAAAGUUUGCGGCUCAACCGUAAAAUUGCAGUUGAAACUGGCAGUCUUGAGUACAGUAGAGGUGGGCGGAAUUCGUGGUGUAGCGGUGAAAUGCUUAGAUAUCACGAAGAACUCCGAUUGCGAAGGCAGUUCACUGGACUGCAACUGACACUGAGGCUCGAAAGUGUGGGUAUCAAACAGGAUUAGAUACCCUAGUAGUC